GCACGUUUCUUCUCUCUUGCAGCAGAGAAAUAAGACAGAGAAUCCAAUAUUCCGCAGGUCAUCUUCCCCAGGAAAUGUGGUGCUCCCCCGACAAAAGAAGUCAAUGCAGAAGGUUCCCGUCUUGUCUCACAGCCCCUUCAAAAGGGGGAACUGUAGGCUGAGAGGGUGUUUUGUUUCCCCGUGACUGAGGGCAGGGCAGGGGCAGGGGCAGGGAGGCCCUGGCCUUGGAGGCCCUGGAAAUGCACUCUGCUGUCACUGAGGUGCUCUCGGGCAGGACCGCUCCAGGCCUACCAGCUUCACACAGUUAUUCUAUUGAAUUCUCAUGAAAACCAAACCUGUGAAACAGCUGUGAUCUUCAUUUUCGGAUGAGAGAACAGAGCCUCAGUGCAAUUAAGUGAUGCCCCCAAGAUCACUGGUCUGACUCCAAAGCUCCUCCUGCCCCGUCCCAACAAGGGGUGGAGGGACGAGGAACUGUCCCUUCCCCUGGGAACGGUGCCCUGGGGCAGGGUCCCCAGGGUCCUCUCCACUGCUGAGGGCACAGGCUCUGGCGGGGCGUGUCCGGGGCUGGGCGUCAGCGGAGGCCCCCGGGGAGCGGGGAGCGCUGGCGAAGCAGCCACUGGAGCGUGGAGCCGGAGCCACCUGCAGGGCUCGCGCUUCCCCUCUGACAAAAGCCGCUGUCGGGAGGGGCUGUAAAGCAGCAGAGAGGCCCCAGCGAGGGGUGUGCACCCAGAGGAAGGGAGGAAGGCAUUUCCUGCCUCCUCCUGCCCCUUCUCGGAGAGGUGUCCAACCUUGCCCAAGCUCGCAGGUCCACAAGCGAAACCCCCGCCCCUCUCCCCGCACUGCCACCGGGGUUGCGGACCUCAGGCAGCACUCUGUCCCCACCAGCCCCAGCCUCCCAGGCCCAAGAGCCUGGCCCUGGUCCCCUCGCCCUCUCCCAGUGCCAGAUGCAGCGGCUACUCACUCAGCGUGCCCGCUCCUGGGUGUGCCUGGGCAGUCUCUCAAUGACCCGCUGCAAGGGGCCCUCUUAGGGGCAGGAGCGUCUGUCCGGGAUCUCUGGCUGUGAGGACCUGCCUAGGCUGCCCCCCACUCCCCACCAGGUAUCACGCAGGUGCCUCCCUGCUUGUGGCGGGAGCAGACAGGUUUGCUCACUGGGAGUCGGUGUCGUGGCCUUGGGCGAUUGCUCUAACGAGGAGCCCCCACCUGAUCACCAUCACCGGCCAGAUCCCACUAGGCCGCACUUGGGCGGUGCAGGUGUUCACCUGGCCAAACAGAGGUGCGCGAGCAGAGGGCAUCUCUCUCCGCGGAGCUGGGGUGGACGCCAGCACUGGCCUCUGCGGCUGUUGAUGAGAAACCUAGCUUAGCAAGAGGCCAGGGAGUGCUGGAGGCUGCCCUGGGGCGUUGGCCCCCUGGCCGCUGAGGCUCCAGGUGUCCUGUGGGGUUACCUUCCAUUUGCACCAGUGAUUGCAUCUCCCUGGGAGUACAAUCUAAUGAUGGGAUUCUCUCUCUUUUUUCUGGAGUUCAUUAUGAUCCUCUUGGAGCAUAUGGAAAUGCAACCAGCACCCAGGAAGCUCCUUUCUCUCCAGACUGGAAGCAGAAGACAAGGCUCUAAGGGACAAUGGAGCAAUAUUCCUGAAUUGCUAUAUGAGGAAGAACCACUUGCCAACUUGAACGACUGCUGUAGACUGCUCUGCAGCAAGGAAUUAACCUUCACAGCAGCUCUGCCCUGUCCAUCACUGUUUCUUUAGGGCCUACCUGGGACCUGGCAUAGAGGAGAUGCUCAGUGUGGGUUUGUUGAUUGGAUCUAAACUUUGACUUUUCUGACAUCUUUGUCACAAAGCUAUGAAGAAAAUACGUAUCCUUAUCACGAUAUACUUAGAGUAAAUAACAUAUGUUUUUUAUGUAAAAAGUGAGAUUGCAACAAUAUGCUUCCAUUGAUUUCUCAGUCUUUGGUGCUGUAGUUGUCAAAUACAUUCUAUCCACACAUGCUAUCAACUCCAAA